GGGCCGUGAUAUGGAGAAAGCCGUUAGAAGGCGGAGACAAAAGAUUCAUGUUUAGAUUCAGAACAAUAGAGCUGACGUGUUCCUGGAUUUUCAUGAAGCCAGACCUUUGUGGGACUUCAAGGAAGAGAGCAGCAAUUUACACACACAGACAUGUCUGAUGGGAAAAAGAGGAAAAGGUCUUCAAGGACAAACCUGCAGCCUGAUGGCUCUGAACCCUCCAUGAGUAUUCCGGGGAGUAAUCUAUCCACGGAUAACAGCCGGGUAUCUUUGAAGAGCGACAGAUCAAAGCAUAAUCCACCACACUUUGGAGAUGGUGAAAUAGAAAGGUCAGUGGAAAAUUUCUCUCGAAGAAAAAAUACAAAUUUGUUUGAAUUCCUAUGUUUGAGCAAUGUGCCAUUUUUUUUGUUUAUUUGUUUUUUGUUUUGUGUUUACAAA